ACAUGUUUUGUUGCAAACCAAAGUUAACUGUGUAAUGGUUGCCAGCUAACUUGAACUUUACUUGGAAAUACACUUCUCUUUGAUGUCCGAUGUUGUCCUUACAUUGCAUCAAUAAAUGAGAAGCUGUAGUUUACGGGGGUGUGCAUCAGUGGAAUUGGUGCAGGGAGCUACAGGUGAAGGGUUUGCUUCCCUCUGCUGGA